AAUGUCGUCGGCGUCGUUCUCAAGCCGCUGGAUGUUGAGCAGGUGCUGCUCCAUUCCCUUGGCGACGUGUAGGAGCGACACGGCCUUAUUCACCUCGUCAGCCUGUUUUACAAGGAUCGCAGCGAGGUCUUGCGCGUGUUUGUCGUUGCCGUGAAUGUCGUACAUCACGAUCGAGCGAGCCGAC
rnacentral:misc_RNA from 1 species